rnacentral:rRNA from 1 species
UACGUAGGGGGCUAGCGUUGUCCGGAAUCAUUGGGCGUAAAGAGCGUGUAGGCGGUCCGGUAAGUCCGCUGUGAAAGUCGGGGGCUCAACCCUCGAAUGCCGGUGGAUACUGUCGGGCUAGAGUGCGGAAGAGGCGAGUGGAAUUCCUGGUGUAGCGGUGAAAUGCGCAGAUAUCGGGAAGAACACCCGUGGCUAAGGCGGCUCUCUAGUACGGUACUGACGCUGAGACGCGAAAGCGUGGGGAGCGAACAGG